AGUUCCAUGGUGCAAUGGUUAGCACUCCAGACUUUGAAUCUGGCGAUCCGAGUUCAAGUCUUGGUGGAACCU
rnacentral:tRNA from 1 species